rnacentral:rRNA from 1 species
AGACCCGAAACCCGGUGAUCUAGCCAUGGGCAGGUUGAAGGUUGGGUAACACUAACUGGAGGACCGAACCGACUAAUGUUGAAAAAUUAGCGGAUGACCUGUGGCUGGGGGUGAAAGGCCAAUCAAACCGGGAGAUAGCUGGUUCUCCCCGAAAGCUAUUUAGGUAGCGCCUCGUGAAUUCAUCUCCGGGGGUAGAGCACUGUUUCGGCUAGGGGGCCAUCCCGGCUUACCAACCCGAUGCAAACUGCGAAUACCGGAGAAUGUUAUCACGGGAGACACACGGCGGGUGCUAACGUCCGUCGUGAAGAGGGAAACAACCCAGACCGCCAGCUAAGGUCCCAAAGUCAUGGUUAAGUGGGAAACGAUGUGGGAAGGCCCAGACAGCCAGGAUGUUGGCUUAGAAGCAGCCAUCAUUUAAAGAAAGCGUAAUAGCUCACUGGUCGAGUCGGCCUGCGCGGAAGAUGUAACGGGGCUAAACCAUGCACCGAAGCUGCGGCAGCGACACUCAGGUGUUGUUGGGUAGGGGAGCGUUCUGUAAGCCUGCGAAGGUGGCCUGUGAGGGUUGCUGGAGGUAUCAGAAGUGCGAAUGCUGACAUAAG